AUAGCGUAUAUUAAAGUUGUUGCAGUUAAAAAGCUCGUAGUUGAACUUCGAACCUGGUUGGGUGGUCUGCCUUCACGGUACGUACUGCUCGGCCGGGUUCUACCUCUUGGUGAGCCAGCAUGCCCUUUACUGGGUGUGUUGGGGAACCAGGACUUUUACCUUGAGAAAAUUAGAGUGUUCAAAGCAGGCCUUCGCCCGAAUACAUUAGCAUGGAAUAAUAAAAUAGGACGUGCGGUUCUAUUUUGUUGGUUUCUAGAGUCGCCGUAAUGAUUAAUAGGGAUAGUUGGGGGCAUUGGUAUUGAGUCGCUAGAGGUGAAAUUCUUGGAUUGACUCAAGACCAACUAUUG
rnacentral:rRNA from 1 species